rnacentral:snoRNA from 13 species
GGCUGUUGAUGAUGACAUACAGUUAAAACAGAUGGGAAUCUCUCUGAAAGAGGAUGAGGACACCACUCUACACUGAAACAGUG